rnacentral:rRNA from 1 species
UACGUAGGGCGCAAGCGUUGUCCGGAAUUAUUGGGCGUAAAGAGCUCGUAGGCGGCCAGUUGCGUCUGCUGUGAAAUCCCGGGGCUCAACCCCGGGCGUGCGGUGGAUACGGGCUGGCUAGAGGCAGGCAGGGGAGAACGGAAUUCCCGGUGUAGCGGUGAAAUGCGCAGAUAUCGGGAGGAACACCGGUGGCGAAGGCGGUUCUCUGGGCCUGUACUGACGCUGAGGAGCGAAAGCGUGGGGAGCGAACAGG